rnacentral:rRNA from 1 species
UUAAACGGCCGCGGUAUCCUGACCGUGCAAAGGUAGCAUAAUCAUUUGUUCCCUAAAUAGGGACUUGUAUGAACGGCCACACGAGGGCUUUACUGUCUCUUACUUCCAAUCCGUGAAAUUGACCUUCCCGUGAAGAGGCGGGAAUAUAAUAAUAAGACGAGAAGACCCUAUGGAGCUUUAAUUAACCGACCCAAAGAGACCCUAUUAAUUAACCGACAGGAACAACAAAUCUCUAUGUGGGCCGACAAUUUAGGUUGGGGUGACCUCGGAGAACAAAACAACCUCCGAGUGAUUUAAAUCUAGACUAACCAGUCGAAAGUAUUACAUCACUUAUUGAUCCAAAAACCUUGAUCAACGGAACAAGUUACCCUAGGGAUAACAGCGCAAUCCUAUUUAAGAGUCCAUAUCGACAAUAGGGUUUACGACCUCGAUGUUGGAUCAGGACAUCCCGAUGGUGCAGCAGCUAUCAAA